AGUGAACGCUGGCGGUAGGCCUAACACAUGCAAGUCGAACGGCAGCACAGUAAGAGCUUGCUCUUACGGGUGGCGAGUGGCGGACGGGUGAGGAAUACAUCGGAAUCUACUUUUUCGUGGGGGAUAACGUAGGGAAACUUACGCUAAUACCGCAUACGACCUACGGGUGAAAGCAGGGGAUCUUCGGACCUUGCGCGAUUGAAUGAGCCGAUGUCGGAUCAGCUAGUUGGCGGGGUAAAGGCCCACCAAGGCGACGAUCCGUAGCUGGUCUGAGAGGAUGAUCAGCCACACUGGAACUGAGACACGGUCCAGACUCCUACGGGAGGCAGCAGUGGGGAAUAUUGGACAAUGGGCGCAAACCUGAUCCAGCCAUACCGCGUGGGUGAAGAAGGCCUUCGGGUUGUAAAGCCCUUUUGUUGGGAAAGAAAAGCAGCAGGUUAAUACCCCGCUGUUCUGACGGUACCCAAAGAAUAAGCACCGGCUAACUUCGUG
rnacentral:rRNA from 1 species